rnacentral:rRNA from 1 species
GCUGGCGGCAGGCCUAACACAUGCAAGUCCAGCGCACCUUCGGGUGAGCGGCGGACGGGUGAGUAACGCGUGGGAACGUGCCCUUCCCCGCGGAAUAGCCACUGGAAACGGUGAGUAAUACCGCAAACGCCCUUCGGGGGAAAGAUUUAUCGGAGAAGGAUCGGCCCGCGUUAGAUUAGGUAGUUGGUGGGGUAAUGGCCUACCAAGCCUACGAUCUAUAGCUGGUUUGAGAGGAUGAUCAGCCACACUGGGACUGAGACCCGGCCCAGACUCCUACGGGAGGCAGCAGUGGGGAAUCUUAGACAAUGGGCGCAAGCCUGAUCUAGCCAUGCCGCGUGAGUGAUGAAGGCCUUAGGGUCGUAAAGCUCUUUCGCUGGGGAAGAUAAUGACUGUACCCAGUAAAGAAACCCCGGCUAACUCCGUGCCAGCAGCCGCGGUAAUAC